AGGGAAUGCUUCCACAAUGGACGCAAGUCUGAUGGAGCAACGCCGCGUGAGUGAAGAAGGUUUUCGGACCGUAAAGCUCUGUUGUUGGUGAAGAAGGAUAGAGGUAGUAACUGGCCUUUAUUUGANGGUAAUCAACCAGAAAGUCACGGCUAACUACGUGCCAGCANCCGCGGUAAUACGUAGGUGGCAAGCGUUGUCCGGAUUUAUUGGGCGUAAAGCGAGCGCAGGCGGAAGAAUAAGUCUGAUGUGAAAGCCCUCGGCUUAACCGAGGAAUUGCAUCGGAAA
rnacentral:rRNA from 1 species